rnacentral:sRNA from 1 species
AUCAAUCGGGUGCGGCACUCCUCCUCCCAGCCAGCCCCGAUGCGAUUGGCAGCACUCCUCCUCCCAAGUUGCCAAUCUGGAUCGACGCCCGCCGGACCUCCUCCCCCGGCGGGCGUUGUAU